rnacentral:rRNA from 1 species
GACGAACGCUGGCGGCGUGCCUAAUACAUGCAAGUCGAACGCAGUGGGGACGGGUGAGUAACACGUGGGUAACCUCCCAUCAGAGGGGAUAACACUUGGAAACAGGUGCUAAACCGAUACUGAUGGAUGGCCCCGCGGUGCAUUAGCUAGUUGGUGAGGUAACGGCUCACCAAGGCCACGAUGCAUAGCCGACCGUGGAGGGUGAGCGGCCACCAUGGGACUGAGACACGGCCCAUGCUCCUGCGGGAGGCAGCCGUAGGGAAUCUUCGGCAAUGGACGAAAGUCUGACCGAGCAACGCCGCGUGAGUGGAGGAGGUUUUCAGAUCGUAAAACUCUGGUGUUAGGGAAGCGGUAUCUAACCAGAAAGCCACGGCUAACUACGUGCCAGCAGGCGGGGUAAUUC